rnacentral:lncRNA from 1 species
UUUGUCUUGAUUUUUUUGUGUGUUUUAGGAAGAUAUCGAUCCUCAGAAGGUUGCAUUUCUCCUCCACAAACAGUGGACUGUAUAUAGUUUAACUCCCCUGUAUAAAUUCUCCUAUUCUAAUCUCAAAGACUAUUCUAGACUUCUAAGUGCAUUUAUUGCUGCCGAAAAGCAAAAAGGACUUGCUGUGGAAGUGGGAGAAGACUUCAAUAUCAAAGUGAUUUUCUCUACUCUUCUUGGAGUGAAAGGGACGCAAAGGGACCCUGAAGCAUUUCUUGUCCAGAUUCGUUCAGAAUCCCAGUCAUCACGUGAACACAGACAAGAUAAAGUGUUGUGGACCGGUUGGUUCUGUUGUGUAUUUGGAGAGAACCUUCAGGAGACUGUCUCAGAAGAUUUCACCUGUCUACCCUUAUUCCUUGCACAUGGAGCGGAAUCCAACACAUCCCUAAUCGGAGGCUGGUUUCAGAAAACUUUUGACUGUUGCUUUAGUCCUUUAGCAAUCAGUGCAUUUAAUCUUUCCUGGAUGGCUGCUAUGUGGACUGCAUGCAAAAUGGACCAUUACAUGGCUACUACUGAAUUCUUUUGGUCUGUGCCCUGUAGCCCACAGAGCUUAGAUAUUUCUUAUGCCAUACAUCCAGAGGAUGCAAAAGCUUUAUGGGACAGUGUCCACAAAACACCUGGGGAAGUUACCCAGGAGGAGGUCGACUUAUUUAUGAACUGCCUU